UGGUGUUUUCCCACCUGUCCAUCUGCCAGUGAACUCCCACAUAUUCGCACUAAGUCACAGGGAACAAGGCAGAAUGAGGUUCAGUGGGGUGUGCCAGGUGUGUGUUGAUCAGCACCAAUGACAGCAUGAAACUGAUGUUCCAGGUGGGGAGACUGAAGAGGAGCCAGUUGUAGACACAAGAUAGAGAUCGUGACGAGAAAGUCACAUGUUAUGACGGUGGCUGCAUCUCUGAUGUAUCAGAGGACAUUCUAAAGAAGCCCUGACACACAAAAGGCUUCUGAGACUCCUGCACCAGAAUGCUACCCCCACCCCAUGCUCCCUGUUCUGCUUCCUGUGGGGACAUGAGCCAAAAGGACCAGAGCAGAGAGCAAAGGAGAAGAGCAGAGAGGGGUCUGGAAUAAUAGGAGAGAUAACAGUGCCUUCGGAAACAUACCCGGGUUCAGAGUGGACCACAAGCCAGGCACAGUCUAGAACAUAUGGUGAGCUGGAUUUCUUCAAACCCAGGGCUUGUUGGACUUUCUAGAGUCUCAGAGUCCACUCUAUCAAUAGAGAACAGAAAAAUAUGGAAAAGAGCAGAAAACAGGACCUAGGAGAAGUUAAGCAAAAAGAGGGGCGCAUUAAAUAAGGCUUUGUGGAUACCUAAUGUGUGUACAAGACCCUUUUCUACACAGGACAACCCCAUUGCUCUCUAUCACCUCUAAAAGCAGCAGAAGAAGCUUAAGAUAUAGCAGAAGACACUGUGGUUAGACAUAAGGAAGCACUUCCCAUGUACUUUACGUCCCCUAGUAAGUAACCAAUGAAAAAAUUUAAAUGUACAUUUAAAAAGAAGACUCGCAUGCUUCCGGGAAGGGGACUAAGAUGAAGCAGUUGAAAUCACUGGAUCCCAGGCAGCUUCCAGCCAGCAGAGACAUUCUGUCUUCCCUACACUCGGGGCAGGUCUUGGCAGCACCCUGCCUGACUCCAGCCUGUCCCUUCUCAUGCCUGGGAAAGCCCAGGAGACCGCGGCGCACUCACCCGGUGGCUGCCUCUGUCCAUGGUGUAAGAGAAUGCUUCUUCCAGGCUCAGCUGAUGUCGAGGAGGCAAAAGAAACAGAGGAAGAGACACGUGUCCUAAAGCAAAGUCGCUGCGCUCAGAAGUGUGGAAGCAGAAGAGUUAGGUGGACUUGGGAAUGCUCCCUUUGUGAUAAAGCCCCAGGGUGGCUGCAACUUCGCUGAGAUCCGUGGAUUCUGCGAUUGGGUCUGUGUUCCCCCAUGCAUGAAUCUGUACCCAGAUAAAAUUCUCUUUGCUUUU
rnacentral:lncRNA from 1 species